CAAGUGGCAAAAUCUGGUGACAGCAUGAAAACAGAGGAAAAACUCCUCCAUCAUUGGCAGCAAACCGCCCAAGGUGAUGCACGACACCCAAGGGGGCAGCGACAUACUGCCCGAGGUGGCAGUGCACCUCACAAGGCCAGUCGCAUGCUACAGGCCUAGCCUACAAGCGUCGAUGUACCAUGUCGCGCGCAAGAGCUAGCCUACGCAUGCACAUGGCCUACAGUGAACAGGGCAUUGUCUGCAGGCCUUUUGCGCGAAAGCCUUGGGCACAUAGGCCUAUCCUCGUAGGCCUACUGCCCAGACAGUGUGCAACACCUGACCCUGUCUGCGCACAAUGUGAUGCGUGUGGGCUGGCCUUCCUGGGGACGAUAAAACGCACAUAUAGGACCAGCCCCAUGCCCCGCACGGAUGGGAC
rnacentral:lncRNA from 1 species